AAAAAAUAAUAAUUAAAAGACAGCAUGCUUUGAUUGGGCCCAUGCAUUUGGUUAUCCAUUUUUUCUUGUUCCUGCAUGACAAUAUUUUAUCACACAGAUUUGUCUGGCAUACAGUUCCAUUUAUUUUUUAUUAUUAUUAAUUCUUCUCCAUUUUUAAUGUUGAUUGGAAACUAAAUAGAGAACAAUCUCCAUACUAUUUUCUCCUGCUUUUCUUUUGCAUUUCUCUUGCCCCACAUUC
rnacentral:lncRNA from 1 species